rnacentral:rRNA from 1 species
GGUCCCUACGGGACGCAGCAGUGGGGAAUAUUGCACAAUGGGGGAAACCCUGAUGCAGCAACGCCGCGUGAGUGAAGAAGUAUUUCGGUAUGUAAAGCUCUAUCAGCAGGGAAGAAGAAAGACGGUACCUGACUAAGAAGCCCCGGCUAACUACGUGCCAGCAGCCGCGGUAAUACGUAGGGGGCAAGCGUUAUCCGGAAUUACUGGGUGUAAAGGGAGCGUAGACGGUGAUGCAAGUCUGGAGUGAAAGGCGGGGGCCCAGCCCCCGGACUGCUCUGGAAACUGUGUAACUUGAGUGCAGGGGG